CAGUUCGGAUUGUAGUCUGNAACCCGACUACAUGAAGCUGGAAUCGCUAGUAAUCGCGAAUCAGAAUGUCGCGGUGAAUACGUUCCCGGGUCUUGUACACACCGCCCGUCACACCAUGGGAGUCGGAAAUGCCCGAAGUCAGUGACCCAACCGUAAGGAGGGAGCUGCCGAAGGUGGAGCCGGUAACUGGGGUGAAGUCGUAACAAGGUAGC
rnacentral:rRNA from 1 species